GACAACAAAUUCACCUACCUUGUACUCUAACCACAAUCCACGUUUAUGAUUGCCAUAUGCUUCUUCUUGUUCAGUCUCAUCUAUACAACUUUCAGAUGAUGCUUGCUGACCAUCAGAAGUAGACAACUCAAACCGUACUGGCUUUAUAUCCCAACCAUGAGUGUGCUCAAAAUUGCACACACGUCGUCCCAACCUUUUGGCA
rnacentral:misc_RNA from 1 species